UCAAAAAUUAUUUAUCAAUGAUGUAAAAAAUUGUUCGACUGAUUUUGAAGGUCUUAAUCGAACGGAAGCAAAACUGGUGACGAAGUCGUAGUUCGCACAAAUUUACGCAGGUUGGUUUGCAGCUGCAAAAUCAAGAAAUACAUACUAUUUAAAUUUUAUGCAAUUCAAAACUUUCAACAAAAUAAAGAGAUAGUAACCAUAAAUUGUACAUAGACAAUACAAUAAUGUGAAAUUUGUUUUAUAUAUAAGACUAAUAAAGACAUCUAUCAUUUAGUUGAAACAUAAA